AACGAACGCUGGCGGCAUGCCUAACACAUGCAAGUCGAACGAGCCCUUCGGGUCUAGUGGCGCACGGGUGCGUAACGCGUGGGAACCUGCCCUUAGGUUCGGAAUAACUCCCCGAAAGGGGUGCUAAUACCGGAUAAUGUCUUCGGACCAAAGAUUUAUCGCCUUUGGAUGGUCCCGCGUUGGAUUAGCUAGUUGGUAGGGUAAAAGCCUACCAAGGCGACGAUCCAUAGCUGGUCUGAGAGGAUGAUCAGCCACACUGGGACUGAGACACGGCCCAGACUCCUACGGGAGGCAGCAGUGGCGAAUAGUGGACAAUGGGCGAAAGCCUGAUCCAGCAAGGACGGGUGAGUGAUGAAGGCCUUAGGGAUGUAAAGCUCUUUUAACCGGGAUGAUAAUGACAGUACCGGGAGAAUAAGCUACGGCUAACUACGUG
rnacentral:rRNA from 1 species